GCCUUAAUAGCUUAAUUGGUAGAGCACUCGCUUGAAGCGCGAUUAGUCUAAGUUCAAUUCUUGGUUUUGGCA